CCUACGGGUGGCUGCAGUGAGGAAUAUUGGUCAAUGGACGCGAGUCUGAACCAGCCAAGUCGCGUGCAGGAUGACUGCCUUAUGGGUUGUAACCUUCUUUUAUCUGGGGCUAAACUGUUCCAUGUGUGGGAUUUUGUGUGUACUUUAUGAAUAAGGCUCGGCUAAAUCCGUGCCAGCCGCCGCGGUAAUACGGAGGAUCCGAGCGUUCUCCGGAUUUAUUGGGUGUAAAGGGCGCGUAGGAGGAUUGUUAAGUCGGUUGUGAAAGUUUGCGGCUCAACGGUAACAUUGCAGUUGAAACGGGCAGUCUUGAGUACAGUAGAGGAGAGCGGAAUUCGUGGUGUAACGGUGAAAUGCGUAGAUAUCACGAAGAACUCCGAUGGCGAAGGCAGCUCUCUGGACUGCAACUGACGCUGAGGCGCGAAAGUGUGGGUAUCGAACAGGAUUAGAUACCCCAGUAGUC
rnacentral:rRNA from 1 species